rnacentral:rRNA from 1 species
UACGGAGGGGGCAAGCGUUGUUCGGAAUUACUGGGCGUAAAGCGCACGUAGGCGGACUGUUAAGUCGGGGGUGAAAUCCUGGGGCUCAACCUCAGAAUUGCCUCCGAUACUGGCAGUCUCGAGUGCGGGAGAGGUGAGUGGAAUUCCCAGUGUAGAGGUGAAAUUCGUAGAUAUUGGGAAGAACACCAGUGGCGAAGGCGGCUCACUGGCCCGUAACUGACGCUGAGGUGCGAAAGCGUGGGGAGCAAACAGG